AGACUCUGUGCGCGUGCAUAUCAAUAAGCGGAGGAAAAGAAACUAACAAGGAUUCCCCUUAGUAACGGCGAGUGAAGCGGGAAGAGCUCAAAUUUGAAAUCUUCAAGGGUUUACCUUGACGAAUUGUAGUUUAAAGAAGUGUUUUCUGUUGAAGUUUUGGUAAAAGUUCUUUGGAAUAGGACAUCAUAGAGGGUGAGAAUCCCGUAUUUGGUCAUUCCUCCUAGCUUUGUGAUACACUUUCAACGAGUCGGAUUGUUUGGGAAUGCAGUCCAAAAUGGGUGGUAAAUUUCAUCUAAAGCUAAAUAUUGGCGAGAGACCGAUAGCGAACAAGUAUCCGUGAGGGAAAGAUGAAAAGAACUUUGGAAAGAGAGUUAAACAGUACGUGAAAUUGUCAAAAGGGAAGCGUUUGACACCAGUGUUGUUUUUUCCGAAAAUCAAUUACGAAUGUUUUGUUUUUAAGAAGUUAUGACUUCAUCGGCUUGCUCCUUUCUUUAUGAAACUUUCUUAAUGCACUUUUCGGUUAACAAGUCAACAUCAAUUUCUUUUGUUGUAAAAGGGUAUGAGGAAGGUGGCUUUCUUUUCGGAGAAAGUGUUUAUAGCCUUGUGCCUCUGCAAUCGGAGAGAUUGAGGUCUGCAGCGUAGAUCCUUCGGGGUUAGAUACAUUUGUGCUAAGUUAUAGCUUUUCAUAGACAACUUGUUGACUAUGUUUAGUCUUGUAGCUUACUCGCUUACUGCUAUUUUACCUACGCUUAGGAUGUUGACAGCAGUAUAGACUGU
rnacentral:rRNA from 1 species